UACGUAGGUGGCUAGCGUUGUCCGGAUUUACUGGGCGUAAAGAGCGCGCAGGCGGUCGUUCAAGUCGAGUGUGAAAGCCCCCGGCUCAACUGUGGAGGGUCACUCGAUACUGAUCGACUUGAAGGCGGGAGAGGGAAGCGGAAUUCCCGGUGUAGUGGUGAAAUGCGUAGAUAUCGGGAGGAACACCAGUGGCGAAGGCGGCUUUCUGGCCCGUUCUUGACGCUGAGGCGCGAAAGCUAGGGUAGCAAACGGG
rnacentral:rRNA from 1 species